AAAAAAAUUAAAUAAAUAAUUAAAAUAUAACAAAUUAUUUUGGACUUGGGUCUCCCUCAUUCCAAGCCCACAAGUCCACGAAAAUCAGCUAUAAAUAUAAGAGUUUCAGUAGGGUUUCAGACACUUGGAAAUUCCUUGAGAAAUAGACUUGGAGUUCACGUGGAGUUUCAAACCUAGGAACUACUCUGCAGCAACCUUCGGGCAGCCCUGAGAAGUUCAUUCC
rnacentral:lncRNA from 1 species